rnacentral:misc_RNA from 1 species
AAGUCGUAACAAGGUUCCCGUAGGUGAACCUGCGGGAGGAUCAUUACGGAAUUUAACAAUUUCGUUAAGAAACAGGCACCGGUGCAUACGUGUUUUGGGCUACCAUUGGUGGGAUGCCCGGGCCUGAUGAGGAAUUGAACGGUGAAAAAAUUGGUAGCAAACUUGGUUUCGAGAAUCGCAAAUAUCUUGUUGGGGUUGUUAAGGCCACCACCGGCUCUCUGUUUGGCUAACGCCAGGCAGUAGAGUUGGUAUCGGUCGAGAGCUUUGCCUCGAGCAUAGCAAACAUUAAAGAGCUGCGGUUCUAUGCUUGGCUUCGGCUAUGCAUAGCCGCCCCAACGUUAAAACGUUUUUCAUACUGUUUGAAAUGAAACUGAUAAGAUAAAUUGAAAUACAACUACGAGUGGUGGAUCACUCGGCUCACGG